CGGGUUAAAGACCGGGGAAGAAAGAUUCAUCGCUGAAGGAUGAGCCUGUGUCCGAAGCUAGUUGGUGGGGGAAUGGCCCACCAAGGCGACGAUCGGUAGCUGGUGAGAGGACGAUCAGCCACACUGGGACUGAGACACGGCCCAGACUCCUGGGAGGCAGCAGUGGGGAAUUUUCCGCAAUGGGCGAAAGCCUGACGGAGACGCCGCGUGGAGGAUGAAGGUUUUCGGAUUGUAAACUCCUUUCGGCAGGGACGAAUAAAUGACGGUACCUGCAAAAGAAGCAUCGGCUACUACGUGCCAGCAGCCGCGGUAAGACGUAGGAUGCAAGCGUUGUUCGGAUUAUUGGGCGUAAAGAGUACGUAGGCGGUUCAGCAAGUGGAAGGUUAAAACAGAGCUCAACUCUGGGAGUGCCCCCCAAACUGCUGGACUAGA
rnacentral:rRNA from 1 species